rnacentral:rRNA from 1 species
UAGGGAAUCUUCGGCAAUGGACGAAAGUCUGACCGAGCAACGCCGCGUGAGUGAAGAAGGUUUUCGGAUCGUAAAACUCUGUUGGUAGAGAAGAACGUUGGUGAGAGUGGAAAGCUCAUCAAGUGACGGUAACUACCCAGAAAGGGACGGCUAACUACGUGCCAGCAGCCGCGGUAAUACGUAGGUCCCGAGCGUUGUCCGGAUUUAUUGGGCGUAAAGCGAGCGCAGGUGGUUUAUUAAGUCUGGUGUAAAAGGCAGUGGCUCAACCAUUGUAUGCAUUGGAAACUGGUAGACUUGAGUGCAGGAGAGGAGAGUGGAAUUCCAUGUGUAGCGGUGAAAUGCGUAGAUAUAUGGAGGAACACCGGUGGCGAAAGCGGCUCUCUGGCCUGUAACUGACACUGAGGCUCGAAAGCGUGGGGAGCAAACAGGAUUAGAUACCCUGGUAGUCCACGCC